UCAGGAUGAACGCUAGCGACAGGCCUAACACAUGCAAGUCGAGGGGCAGCACAAGGAGCAAUCUGAGGUGGCGACCGGCGCACGGGUGAGUAACACGUAUGCAACCUGCCUGUAAGCGGGGAAUAACCCGUUGAAAGACGGACUAAUACCGCAUAAUACUAAAUUACUGCAUGGUAAUUUAUUUAAACAUUUAUGGCUUACAGAUGGGCAUGCGCAUGAUUAGCUAGUUGGAGAGGUAACGGCUCCCCAAGGCAACGAUCAUUAGGGGUUCUGAGAGGAAGGUCCCCCACACUGGUACUGAGACACGGACCAGACUCCUACGGGAGGCAGCAGUGAGGAAUAUUGGUCAAUGGACGAGAGUCUGAACCAGCCAAGUCGCGUGCAGGAAGAAUGUCCUAUGGAUUGUAAACUGCUUUUGCAGGGGAAUAAAGUGCAUCACGUGUGAUGUUUUGUAUGUACUCUGCGAAUAAGGAUCGGCUAACUCCGUGCCAGCCGCCGC
rnacentral:rRNA from 1 species